CAUCUACUCCCUCCGUCUAGAAUUACUUGACGGAGAAAUGCAUGCAUCUAGACAUAUUUAGUUCUAGAUAUAUCCAUUUUAAUCUAUUUCUGCGACAGGUAAUUCCGGAUGGAGGGAGUAGUUU
rnacentral:pre_miRNA from 1 species